rnacentral:tRNA from 1 species
GGUGGCUCAGUGGUAAAGUGCUUGCCUUGCAUGCAUGAGGCCUUGGGUUCGAUUCCUAAGCACCA